UGCUUUGUGGCCCGGCUGGCCGCAACGG
rnacentral:sRNA from 1 species